rnacentral:rRNA from 1 species
UACGAAGGGGGCUAGCGUUGCUCGGAAUCACUGGGCGUAAAGCGCACGUAGGCGGAUUGUUAAGUCAGGGGUGAAAUCCUGGAGCUCAACUCCAGAACUGCCUUUGAUACUGGCGAUCUUGAGUCCGGGAGAGGUGAGUGGAACUGCGAGUGUAGAGGUGAAAUUCGUAGAUAUUCGCAAGAACACCAGUGGCGAAGGCGGCUCACUGGCCCGGUACUGACGCUGAGGUGCGAAGGCUAGGGAGCAAACGGG